CCUACGGGUGGCAGCAGUGAGGAAUAUUGGUCAAUGGGCGGAAGCCUGAACCAGCCAAGUCGCGUGAGGGAUUAAGGCCCUGCGGGUCGUAAACCUCUUUUGCCGGGGAGCAGAGGUCCGGACGUGUCCGGGCCGGGAGAGUACCCGGAGAAAAAGCAUCGGCUAACCCCGUGCCAGCAGCCGCGGUAAUCCGGAGGAUGCGAGAUUUAUCCGGAUUUAUUGGGUUGAAAGGGUGGGUAGGCGGGCAUUUAAGCCGGCGGUCAACUGUCGGGGCUCAACCCCGGCCUGCCGUCGGAACUGGGUGCCUUGAGUGGGCGAGAAGUAUGCGGAAUGCGUGGUGUAGCGGUGAAAUGCAUAGAUAUCACGCAGAACCCCGAUUGCGAAGGCAGCAUACCGGCGCCCUACUGACGCUGAGGCACGAAAGUGCGGGUAUCGAACAGGAUUAGAUACCCCAGUAGGA
rnacentral:rRNA from 1 species